UUGGCCUCUUGGUGCUGUGCGGUCCCAUGUGUCCUUACCAAUUUCCUGCCUGCAGGAUCUGUCCGUUUCUGAUAAGGGGGUGUUGAGGUCUCCAGCCACAAUAGUGGACGCAUUAAUUUCUUUAUUUUGAUUGUCUGCAGUUUGAAUAUGAUAUGCCUGGGUGUAGAGGUUGGAGCAUUUAUCCUGCCUCGUGUUCUCUGAGCUUCCUGGAUCCGUGGUUUGGUCUCUGGGUCAAGAGGAACCAUAAUACACUUGAUGCAGAGAAGUUACCUCUAGAUGGACUUUGAGUUUGAUGCUAUGAUUGACAUCCCCCCCCACCCCCAUCGGGGAGAGGGAGAGGGGCCGAGGGAGGGGGCUAAGCAGCCCUGGAUCCCGACCACCAGCCUGAGCCUCAACGAACAGCACAGAGCCCACGUAGGGCGGCUCUGAUUCCUCCGACAUCCCAUUUUCGUUCUUUGAUGAUAUUUGUCUGUAUCCAGCUUACACAUAAAUGCUUCCAGGCGAGUGCUCCAAAUGUCUCUUUCGGAAAUCUGAAUCCCCAUGAAAACAAUGGCAACAAGAAAAAGGUGCAAGCUUUCCAGAACAAGCCCAGAAUUUGAAAAUGUGAUAAAGAGGUUAUUGUGUGUCCGAACUUUUCACACAAGAAUUGGAGGAGACUUAACACCAGGAAUAAUAAACAGAGGAAGACCAGUUAAUGCAGAGCAGAUGGGCCCGCAAAUGCUAAGCGUCUCAACAUCUUUCCCCUUGGACUUUUGGACUCAAGAUGACUGAAUGCUGGUUUCUUUAGUUGGAAAUAAAGCUAAUGCAACUGGGGAAACCUGUAAAUAUGGCGGGCUUGAUUUCUAGGGUGGUUUUAAGAACCUACGACGUGGCAGGCGUUUGAAAUUCACUACUUAAAUCCGGACCACAGCUCCAUUUUGCAGACAAGAAAACUGAGGCUUCACUUACCGAGAGGCAUACAGCCAACAAGAGAGUGAAGCCAGGAUCAGUCCUAGGUCUGUCUCUGCAUAUGCCAUUUUCCUGCAAACUAGGGUAACAGGUGAGCAGAGAAAAA